rnacentral:rRNA from 1 species
GACAGAGGCCUCGAGCGUUAGGCGGAAUCACUGGGCUUAAAGCGUGUGUAGGCGGAAGAGUAAGUACCUUGUGAAAUCCCACGGCUCACCCGUGGAACCGCUGGGUAUACUGCUCUUCUUGGGCCACUCAGGGGCGACUGGAACAAGCGGUGGAGCGGUGAAAUGCGUAGAUAUCGCUUGGAACGCCGAAGGUGAAAACAGGUCGCUGGGAGUGCGCCGACGCUGAGACACGAAAGCCGGGUGGGAGAAACGGG